GCCCGCGCGGGAGAAAGUGCGCGACGGCAGCGGCCGGUCCGGAGGCGCCCGGGCAGCAGCGGUAGGCGGGAGGAGGGGACCCUGGCUUCGCAGGGGGCCCGGCUGGGGCCCACGCAAGGAGCCUGGGGGGGCGCUGGUCUCGGCCCCGCCUGGGGCAGGAUGGUGAACCUGGAGCUCAUGCACUCAGAUACCAAGAUGAGUGGGGACGGAGCCCAUCCCACCGACGGUCCCGGCGCCCUCGGCCAGGUGGACACCGGAAAUGACCGAAACAGCCUGGAUUUCAACAGGCAGAUCAAAACCGAGGACCUCGGCGACUCCCUGCAGCAGACGCUCUCACACCGGCCAUGCCCCCUGAGCCAGGGACCGGCCAUGAUGCCUGGGAGCCAAGUGUCUGGGGAUCUGACGGCCCUCCAUCCCCUCCAGCAGCUCGUGCUGGUUCCCGGCCACUUGCAGUCCGUGUCGCAGUUCCUGCUCUCUCAGACGCAGCCGGGGCAGCAAGGUCUGCAGCCCAAUCUCCUCCCCUUUCCACAGCAGCAAAGCUCCUUGCUCCUCCCACAGCCUGGACCCGGCCUGGCGUCCCAGGCAGUCGGGCGCCCGGGGCUGCCGGGACCCUCCCUAGACCCCCACCUGGAGGCGCCCCAGCAUCUCCCGGUGCCCAAGCACCUGCCUGGCGCUGGGGGCGCCGACGAGCCCGGCGACCUGGAGGAGCUGGAGAAGUUCGCCAAGACCUUCAAGCAGAGGCGCAUCAAGCUGGGCUUCACACAGGGGGACGUGGGGCUGGCGAUGGGGAAGCUGUACGGCAACGACUUCAGCCAGACCACCAUCUCGCGGUUCGAGGCCCUCAAUCUGAGCUUCAAGAACAUGUGCAAGCUCAAGCCGCUGCUGGAGAAGUGGCUGAGCGACGCCGAGUCCUCCCCGGCAGACCCCUCGGUGAGCACCCCCAGCGCGUACCCCGCCCUCACCGAGGUGUUCGGGAGGAAGAGGAAGAAACGCACCAGCAUUGAGACCAACAUCCGCCUGACCCUGGAGAAGAGGUUUCAGGAUAACCCCAAACCGAGCUCCGAGGAGAUCUCCAUGAUUGCAGAACAGUUGUCCAUGGAGAAGGAGGUGGUGAGGGUCUGGUUCUGCAACCGACGUCAAAAGGAGAAGAGGAUCAGCUGUCCCGUGGCCACACCCAUCAAAUCGCCCAUCUACACGUCCCGUCUGGUCUCCCCGUCCGGGCCUCUGGGCCCCCUCUCCGUCCCGCCCGUCCACAGCGCCGUGCCGGGAGCAGUGACCUCGUCCUGUUCCCCUGGCAGCAGCAGCCCCUCCUCGCCCAGCGCAGGCCUCCCCUCCGCGCAGCCCAGCGCCAAGGCGGCAGCCGGCGCCUCCUCUGGACUGGGCGCCUCAGGACCCUGGUACCGAUGGAGUCAUCCCACCUACCUCCACUGAGCCCGCGGGUGCUCCCCGAGCGAGCGGAAGGGCGCCCACCACCGGGAGCCGAGCUCGCCUUCCUCAGACCCGCCGGAGGCUCACCCUCGGGGACCACGCGGCCCUGUGUCCCGGAGCCGCCCAGGCCUUUCCGAGAAAGGACGUCUCGCCGUUGCUCCCGCCUCCUCCUGGGGACAGCCACGCUGGGUGCCCGCCAGCAGGGUCCCAGCUCCGAGUUCCCUCUGACACCCGGGAAGAGCUGUGAAUCCCCGCCUCCGGCAAAGCCUCGCUGUUUGCUCUGCUCAGCAAGCUUUUCUCACCGAAUCUUCUCUCACCCAGUGCUCUCCGGGCCCUGCCCCCUUCACAGAACCAAACCCACUCGUGCUUUUGUUCUGAAGUUCCCUCCUCUUUGGAGAAGGCCAAGUCCCUCCGCCCAGGCAUUUCCCUGCCCGUGAGGCUCCCUGCACCUGUCACCGAGCCAGGAGCUUGCCGCCCUCCGCCCUCCGCUCAGCCCCUGUCCCCGCUGCAGCAGGAGGAACAGGCAUCUGUUGUUCUGAUGCUGUCAGGUGCCUGCCGAGGGCCCUUUCCUGCUGUUUUCAUUAUGUUCUCUCCUUACUGUGGAAUUCUCCAGCAAAAUGUUUAACUCAGGUGGAUGUCCAGUUGUUCCAGCACCAUUUGUGAACACUGUCAUUUCUCCAUUAUAUUGCCCUAGCUCAGUGGUCGGCAAACUCAUUAGCCAACAGAGCCAAAUAUCAACAGUACAACGACUGAAAUUUCUUUUGAGAGCGGAAAACCGACUUCUGCGCAUGGGCCACGAAGUUUCAAUCGCACUGUACGUGCGCACCCACACGUGAUAUUUUGUGGAAGAGCCACACUGAAGGGACCAAAGAGCCGCAUGUGGCUCCGUGAGCCGCAGUUUGCCAACCACUGCCCUAGCUCCUUGGCCAAAGAUUAGCUUCUAAUGCCCUUCACCAAGGAAAGGCGCUGCGGAUGCAGGAAAGCACAGGGCACCCGAGCAGGUCCCGGUGCUGCAGGGGCCGGACGCCUUGAUGGUGGAAAACACGGCUCCAGAGCACAUCGCCCAGGCUCCUUCUGCCUGACUCACCACAGCAGCCAGCCAGCUCUGCCGGUUCGCGUUGUAAAAUGGGACUGACAAUAGAGUAGCUCAGAGUUGUG